rnacentral:lncRNA from 1 species
CUCUUCCUGUCAAACACCCGGCUCUCCUCUCCACCAGGCUCCCACGCCCACCACACAGCCUGUAGCCCCGGCGGAGCUAUGGGCUCUGACUCCGCCUCUUUCCAAAUCCGGAGUAGUUCGUGCCACAGUCGUCCUCGGAACCCUGUGGCCCCUUCCUCACCCGUUUCAGGGCCACUUGGUUCCCACCUCCACCUUCUUAGUCUGCCUGCCCUGCUUUCCAUCUUCUUGGAAUUCGCCUUGCUGCCGCCCCGCGCCCACCCCCGCGCCCACCCCUGCCCCUGCACCGUCCCAUGCCCUUAUGGAUUUAUUCUUUACACGUAAAUAUGUCUUUCCUCUUUUUGAAAGGAUUUGGAGUUGGAACAGAGAAAUUCACUAUGGAUGAUGCUAUAUCUUUAUAUGACCUUUGGAAUAUCUGUAAUCAUCCUGAGGGCAAUACUUAUGUAAUGAAGAUGGAAGAAGAGAGAAUAUGAAUACUCCGUGCACUUUGAUCUUAUCGUUUAGCUGCUGAUCAUACCAUCCCUGGAGUCCUACUUCUGACUCCAAGUUAUGAGGAGAUACCAGAGACAUAAAUUUUCAUCGUGUGAAAUCUCUCAAAUGUCUAAAGUACCUAAUUAAAAAUAGAAAAUAAUGAAAACACAAAGAUGAAAAAAACCUGGCAGCUGUCUGAGAUUGGUCCCUGGGCAGCCAGCUGGUAUUUGUUGGACUGAAUUGUGUGAUGUAUACAAGAAAAUUAAUCCCUGCUACGGUGAAGUAGGCUUGCCUUGUGUAAUUCUUGAGGCAGUCAGCCUCAGGCCAUGUUGGGUGGAGAGAAUAAACUCUAUUUACCACCUUC